rnacentral:rRNA from 1 species
CCUACCGGAGGCAGCAGUUAAGAAUCUUGCGCAAUGGACGAAAGUCUGACGCAGCGACGCCGCGUGAAGGAUGAAGGCUUUCGGGUUGUAAACUUCGGUAGACUGGAAAGAAAAAGUACGUUCGUUGAGGGCGUGCAUUGACGAGUACCAGUCUGAAGCCCCGGCUAAUUACGUGCCAGCAGCCGCGGUAAUACGUAUGGGGCAAGCGUUGUUCGGAAUUAUUGGGCGUAAAGGGCUCGCAGGUGGUUUGUUAAGUUGGUGGUUUAAUCUCUGGGCUCAACCCAGAGUCAGCCUCCAAAACUGGCGAACUUGAGUACGAUAGGGGAUAGCGGAAUUCUCGGUGUAGCGGUGGAAUGCGUAGAUAUCGAGAGGAACACCAAUGGCGAAGGCAGCUAUCUGGAUCGUAACUGACACUCAUGAGCGAAAGUGCGGGGAGCAAACAGGAUUAGAUACCCUGGUAGUCCGCACCGUAAACGUUGUAUACUAGUUGUUGGCGGUUUCAACGCCAUCAGUGACGUCGCUAACGCAUUAAGUAUACCGCCUGGGGAGUAUGCUCAGCAAGG